CUCACUAACACUCACUUACAUUAACACUCAAUAACACUCACUAACACUCAUUAACACUCACUAACACUAACAC